CCUUACCUGGCCUUGACAUCCAGAGAACUUUCCAGAGAUGGAUUGGUGCCUUCGGGAACUCUGAGACAGGUGCUGCAUGGCCGUCGUCAGCUCGUGUCGUGAGAUGUUGGGUUAAGUCCCGUAACGAGCGCAACCCCUAUCCCUGGUUGCUAGCAGGUAAUGCUGAGAACUCCAGGGAGACUGCCGGUGACAAACCGGAGGAAGGUGGGGAUGACGUCAGGUCAUCAUGGCCCUUACGGCCAGGGCUACACACGUGCUACAAUGGUGCGUACAGAGGGCUGCAAACCCGCGAGGGGGAGCUAAUCUCACAAAACGCAUCGUAGUCCGGAUCGGAGUCUGCAACUCGACUCCGUGAAGUCGGAAUCGCUAGUAAUCGCGAAUCAGAAUGUCGCGGUGAAUACGUUCCC
rnacentral:rRNA from 1 species